rnacentral:rRNA from 1 species
GACGAACGCUGGCGGCGUGCCUAAUACAUGCAAGUAGGACGCAGUUGCGAACGGGUGAGUAACGCGUAGGUAACUACCUACUAGAGGGGGAGAACUAUUGGAAACGAUAGCUAAUACCGCAUACUCGUAGAUGGACCUGCGUUGUAUUAGCUAGUAGGUAGGGUAAUGGCCUACCUAAGCAACGAUACAUAGCCGAACUGAGGAGGGGAACGGCCACACUGGGACUGAGACACGGCCCAGGAUUCUACGGGAGGCAGCAGUAAGGAAUCUUCGGGAAUUGGAGGAACCUUGAACGAGCAACGCCGCGGGAGUGAAGAAGGUUUUCGGAUCGUAAAGCUCUGUUGGUAAGGAAGCGGUAUCUAACCAGAAAGGGACGGCUAACUACGUGCCAGCAGCCGCGGUAAUUC